rfam:Capsicum annuum cultivar Zunla-1 chromosome 5, whole genome shotgun sequence
AGGGAUAUAACUCAGUGGUAGAGUGUCACCUUGACGAGGUGGAAGUCAUCAGUUCGAGCUUGAUUAUCCCUA